GACGAACGCUGGCGGCGUGCCUAAUACAUGCAAGUCGAGCGAACCGACGAGGUGCUUGCACCUUUUGACGUUAGCGGCGAACGGGUGAGUAACACGUAAGGAAUCUACCUAUAAGUGGGGGAUAACAUCCGGAAACGGGUGUUAAUACCGCAUAAUAACCCACACCACAUGGUGUAGGUUUGAGGGAAAAGGAGCAAUCCGCUUUGAGAUGGCCUCGCGUCCGAUUAGCUAGUUGGUGAGGUAACGGCCCACCAAGGCGACGAUCGGUAGCCGGACUGAGAGGUUGAACGGCCACAUUGGGACUGAGACACGGCCCAG
rnacentral:rRNA from 1 species